GGAGCUAUUAAAUCUUAUAAAAAAACCAUUGUCUUUAGAAAUACCAUAUAAACAAAUAUUCAACAUGAUAAAAUAUCAUCUUAAGUAGGCAUAUUUCAUCAAGUAUGCAUAAACGGGUAUCAUACUGGGUAAACAGAGAAGUUGGACAAGGUGACAAUAAGAUAAACAUCAAAAAGUAUAAUCAAUGCACGAAAAGUAAGAAUUUCAUCAUAUAGAUCAAAAGGAUGCUCUAAACCAUACUUAAAUUUUAUUUCUCUUUUACUAACCUUCGCAUAAAGCCAUUACAACAUAUAUCCAAUGAGGGUAGAAGGGAUCCCCGACUACCACUAUGAAUCACCGAUUCCUUUCUCAGGUC
rnacentral:lncRNA from 1 species